UGGCCGGCUCUCUUCUCCCCAGAGUGGUUCUUUUCCUGCCCCUGGUGUCCCUCUAAGACCCAGAUGUUUCCAGCACCCAUUUGAGAGGCUGAUUCAGCCCAGGCAGUGUCUGGCCUAGGGAAGGUGACUGCAGGAAAUGUUAAAAAAUGGGGGCUGUUAUCAUGCCUGAGCAUCGCACAGUCCCUCCGUUGUGACUAAUUGUAGUGGUUGUUGUUGAAGGGCUGCCCCAGGUCCCCCUCCCUGGACCGGUACACUCACCCCAGCUGCCGAGACGGCGGCUGCUAAUGUCCACUGCUGCUAAUGUCCACAGCACCACUUCUCUGGAGAUUAGCCUUCCUCCAACUGGAGCUGCUUCAUCCGGGAAGUUGCUCACCCUGCACCAGCCCUGGCUGACUCAGGGGUGCAAAGGGCUGCUCCUCCUUGUUUCCAUGUGGGGUAAACUCCAUGGUGCGGUUCAUGUUCCAGGGCAUCCUGUGGAUGGCCUGAGUUGGUCCCCAGCCGAGACCACCUCCUUCCCUUGCCUGGCUCUGCCACCUUCCCUUCCUUUCUCCUGAGGUUGCUCCCUGUUAAAUCACACAGACAGACAUUCCCUCCUCAGGAUCUGUCCCCGGGUGCCCACCCUCAGACACUAUCCGGCAACACGUUCCCUUUCCUGAGUCCCCUCUGAUGAUGUAUCUGACUUGGAGAUCCUUGGCCUGCUGGCUCUCUUUUCAGUUCUGUUCUGGAGAAUAGAAGCUUCCUGGGCUGGCCUGUUGAGUGUUUUGUUUGGUUGGUUUUGAUUUCCAAGUCUUUUCAGGCUAAUCGGACACGAGGAAAGGUCUGCAUUGAAUCACAGCCUUGGCACUGUUCCCCCCUUCCUUCCCUCCUCCGUUCAUUCCCCCGAACAUCCUUUUCUGUGCCGACAAUGACCUCAGCAGAAAGGGGAAAAGGACGUGGGAAGGCUGCAUGGGAAACUCAUGGAACUUGGUAGCAAACAGCUCUGGGUUCAAGUCCGGGCCCUGUUGCUCAGGAGCCAGGCACUCAGUUGUGGUGGCUUCUCUAACCGGGAACUUCUUCUAUGAAAAUGGGACUAUUCGUCUCUACUCCUUGCAUUAUUGUGGGGAUCGGAAAUAAUCUGGGUCAAUGAUGUGGUGCAGUGACUAGCAUCGAGGGGACACCCUCUCCACACAGGCUGGAAAGACAUCCAGAAGGAGUCCUGGGCUCCCUCACCACGCAGGGGCUCAGCCUCGCCAGAUAGUUGUCAUCACCCAUCCAGGCCCGUUUCUGGUCUCAUUGCUUUUGUUCAUGUACUUUCCUCCUGGGUUGCUCUUCCUUUUCUCUCUGACCUGUCAAAAAGCCCCAUUGUAAGCAACAUUUAAAUGCUACCUCUUCCAUGAAGCCCUUUUGGAUGCCUCUUAGGGGGAUGAGUUCUUUCCAUCCUAGCACUGCUUGCUGCAUGGUCCAGGAUCUGUGGGGCCUGUCUUCUUUACCACUUUGCUCACUUCAUGAAUGUGGGGGUGUAUGAAGAGUAUGAUGAAAUUAGAGGCUAUGUUCUGGAGUCAGACUGAUCAGUACUGGGAUUCUGGCCAUACCCCCUCCUUAGCUGGGUGACUUUAGGCAACUGACUGUACCAUCCUGAAAGUCAUCUGUAAGCCGUGCUGACCCCCCAACCACAGGACACUUGUGCCCGCUGCAGGUGCUCUGUCAGCAGUGACUUCUCACUACCUGGCAUCCUCUGAAUUCACGAGCAGUUUGAAGAAUGAGCAAAUACUGAGCAAAGCUCAUAGGAUUAAAUACACACAGACCUGUGUAAGUUAACACCAAGCUAAGGGUUAAAUACUUUACAAAAAUUCUCAGUGCGGUUGGUGGGUGAGAAGGGCUGUCGUCCCCUCUGGCUGCCUUGCCAAGCUGGUAGAGGGGCCAUCUCCCACUACCUACUGACAAAGAUUCUUUGCUUGACCCAAUUACCCAAUUUAAUCAGACACUUAAGUCUUUUCCUAGGCCCAUCUGUGUACUUCCUGUAAAAUCUAGUUUUAGCAAAAAACUCUGCUGAGUCAGUUUGGUAAGGACCACCGGCCGUCAAUAUCUUCCAUAUCUGAUAGAUAGGGUUCCUCAUCUUCUACCACCCUCCAGAUGAUGUCUGGUCACCCUGGCCUGCCUUUAGCAAGAAUCUUGAUAGGUUGAUUUAACCAGAAUCCCCCUUACUCCUGAUGUUGCCUGUUAGUAAUUUUCUAUCCUCUGACCCCCACCCUGCUUCUUGGCUGUGAAUUUCCACUUGCUCAGGCUGUAUUGAGUUGAGCCCUAUCUUUCUCCUACACUGCAAAUUCCCAUUGCCGUGGUCCCUAUACCUAUCAGGAUGGUCCUGAAUUGUCUUCUUUAUCAUCUGCUCUGCUCUGCCAGAGCUUAAGCCCAGGCAGCUGAGUUAAAAGUGUGACCAAAUGGACCAUCUUGUCCCUGAAAAUUGGGACCUAAGCUCGAUUCCGAGAUUUAAUCAUGGCAGAGGAGUUUACUCUGCUAACCACCAUCACCCCACCCUAUCCCCCAGAGGGGUGCGGUGAGUAAGGGGGUGGCAACUGGUUGUUUCCAAUCUCCCAUCUCUCUCUGGCCCUCCUCUGUCUCUGGCCUCCCUUCUCCCUUUGAAAGGGACACAGUGCUGCUCACAGCCUGUCCUGCUGCGGUGGCUGCAGAGAGGGGCUGAGAAUAAGCCUGUGUCCGAGGCAGCCCUCCAAAUACAGCAGGGCUGGGUUGACCUUUAAAUAGAUGGGCUCUGGGCCACUCAGUUCCUGGAAGUUUGAAGAAAGUCAGCCUUUCAAGUGAUGCGACUUCCAACCUCAGGAAAGAUCGCUGUGUUUGUAAAGGGUAUAAUUUACUGUUGCUUUUGCACUUCAUGAUAUGCGGCUGCACAGCCAGUGGGAGCCAGCAUGCCAGAAUUAGGAGGGGAAAAUCCUCAAGUAUUUUAAUAUACCCCUACUUAGAAGCAAGAUAAACAUAUGUAUUGUACUUUGGGACAGAAGCAAGGGGGGUUUAGCGGGUGGGAAAGGGAGAGUCCUGGCAUUGCAUGAAAGGUCUUUUUAAGCUGAACUCUGAGGGUUUUCAGUUUUUCAUUUUUCUGUUUUUUUUUUUUUUUUUUAUUUGUAAGCAAAGCUGGCAUGAGCAAAUGAUGCCAGGAUCUACUUGGCUGUGUAAAAGCUGUAGUCCCUCCUCAGACAGGCAGACUGCUAGAACCCUCCCUAAGCCAUAAACUAGUACACCGUUUUGCCUCGCCCAAUUAAAAAUGAUUGGGUGUGGGUUGUCAUCACAGUUGACUUAGAUGAUUUACUUUCUUCCAGGAAAUCUUCCUCCCAAAGUGCUGAGAUUAGAGGCGUGAGUCAUCAUGCCUGGCAGUAAUCUUUUCAGUGGAGAAUAAAAUAAACCCGGGUUUGAAUUCUGACCCUUUAAAUUUACUCAGGGUUUGACUUCAGCCAGGGAACAUAACCUUUCUGUGCCUCAGUUUCCUCAUUUUUCAAAACAAAGAUGGUGUGUGUGUGCAUCUCCAUCUAUGAGUUGUUGUGAAUAGGAAUGUAGGGGCCCCAGCAGGGUGUGUAAAGGUACCAGUUCCUGGGGCGUCAAAGGUUUUUCUUUCCCUUCGUACCCCCUCACUGACAUGCCCAGGUCUGUCUGUGUAGAGCAGUGGGUGGAUUUACAGACUCCGCUGAGAACCCCCUUAUAGCAUAUUUUCAGGUUCGUGAUGAUAUCAUGGGCUGUGACCCUGGGAGUUUAAUUGGAAUGAAUUUCAAGGUUUUGUUAAACUUGGCUAGAAUCUUCCUAUAUCUCCAGCAAGAUAUUGAUGGGGUUUUUGUUGUUGCUGUUGUUUUUGAGACAGGGUCUUGCUCUGUCACCCAGGCUGGAGUUCAGUGGUGCCGUCACUGCAGCCUCAACCUCCCAGGCUCAAGGGAUCCUCCCCUUCAGCGUCCCUAGUAGCUGGGACUACAGGUGCGCUCCACCACACCCAGCUAGUUUUUGAAUUUUUUUGUAGUGAUGGGGUUUCACUAUGUUGCCCACGCUGGUCUCAAACUCCUGGGCUCAAGCCAUCUGCCUACCU
rnacentral:lncRNA from 1 species